CGAAAGACAGGCCUAUUUCUAUUCGUUCUUAAGCUUAGAAAUACAGUUUAGAAUUUCUUAAUUUUUUAAAACCCUUUAAGAAGGACCAUAUAAAUAGCAUUUGCUGAAAUUUACUGAAAAGAACCUUGAGCUAGGGCUUUUCUGAACCUCAAGUUCAUGUGUGGAAAUAGAAGACAGUAAUCACUCUGGGCAAAGGGACCUCUUGAGCAGUCAUCCAGCCCAUCCCUUCGGAUUAUUCAAGCCUGACAGAAAGAAUGAUAAAUGACCUACCUGGAUAAUGAGUGAUUAUUCAUUUGUCAAGCAUCUCCAGUGAACUUUAUCCUAAAUCUAUUUUCUCCAGGUAAAUAUGUCUAUCAGGAUCAUGAAGGAGCUUCUCCUAGAAAGUGGAUCUGAGCUAUGCCAAGAGUAGAGCUAAGCCAUCCUAUCUCUAUGGAUGCUGGGGAUCAGCCCUCCUCCAAUGACUGGUUGAUGCUCAGCACAAAGGACCAGCACCUUGACACAAUUUGGGAUAAUUCUAAAGGCCAUCUCAGCUUCAAAGAAUUCCGCAAAGUGGGUUGGGAUCUUCAUUGUAACUGUAUCAUAGUGCCACCUCUCUCUCCCCUCUCCAGUCAUACCUCCUUCACUACCAAAGGUAUUGUUUCCAAGAACGCUCCCGAAUAAAUUU